rnacentral:tRNA from 1 species
AGGAUAAUAGUUAAAAUUAACAUUUAAUUUGCACUUAAAAAAUAUUGAAUAAAUCAAUUUAUCUUA